UAAUUUAGGAAGGCGAGUAUAAUUACUUUCCUCAUACUCUAUCCUCUCACGCAUUUUUUGCAAUUCUCGUUCAUCAGCAUGAAUGACACGUCCACGUUUCUCAAGAUUUGAACCUACACUCGGCAUACUUUGAGGAACAGAUGACAUAUCAGAUGAGACAAACUCAUCCACUAAAUGAUUAGGACGAUGCCUUGUACGCUUUUCGGAAUCCAUUGUAACUGCACGAAUACGAGGAGGGCGAUAAAUUCCAUCUUUAGCGGAUCUCAGUUCCUCUUCUUCAUCUUCAGAAGAUAUAGAGCUUUUGUCAUCCUCUUUUACAACAUUAUUUUCACUAGCUGGCCCAUCACUAUCAUCGGCAAAUUCGCUUAAAUUUGGUUUGUAAUGAAGUUUCAGGGAAUCCUGAGAAUCUUUGUCAUUUCCAUUGUUUUCUGGUUCCUUAAUAGACCCUAUUUCCUCUUUUCGACCAGCAGCUCUCAACAACUUAUCUACAGAAUACUGGAUGCGGUUUUCCAAAGGUCGAAUUUUCUCAAUCUCUAUGCGUAACUGAACAAGUUUCUCAACGACAUCUUGGUGUUGUAAAAAACUUUCAUCGUCCAAUUUCACAAGCAUUAGAAAAGCUAAUUUUUGUACAUAAGAUAAAAGCAAUUGACACUUCAAAGAUACUAAGGAUACCCCAUCGCUUGAGGAUGAUGAAGUUUUAGGCAAAGCUUCAAGAGCAGUUUGGAUGCUCUUAUUUAAUACAUCCAUAUUUCAAUAUGUUAAUGUAUUGCCUCAAAAAUACAAACUUCUUAAAGUAUUGGGUAAACAAUUAGUUGGUGUGUACGCUAGAAUAAAUUGCUGAAUCAAAAAUUUGCCAUAACCCAGUAUGUAAUUACGGUAUUUUGCAGCGUUACGCUAUGUGCUCAUAAAGUACAGUUUGACUUGAAAAUGGAAUAGUCUGAAAAUUGUACUGACUUGAAAAGUCAGUAAGUUUAUUAAUGUACCCAACGGGGUUACAGAUGUCAAAUCAGUAGGAAAUUAAACAUUCAGCGAGUUGUUAACUUCACCUACAAUUAGCAUAUUUUAACAUUGUUUCAG